GACGAACGCUGGCGGCGUGCCUAAUACAUGCAAGUAGAACGCACAGUUUAUACCGUAGCUUGCUACACCAUAGACUGUGAGUUGCGAACGGGUGAGUAACGCGUAGGUAACCUGCCUGGUAGCGGGGGAUAACUAUUGGAAACGAUAGCUAAUACCGCAUAAUAUUGAUUAUUGCAUGAUAAUUGAUUGAAAGAUGCUAUUGCAUCACUACCAGAUGGACCUGCGUUGUAUUAGCUAGUAGGUGAGGUAACGGCUCACCUAGGCGACGAUACAUAGCCGACCAGAGAGGGUGAUCGGCCACACUGGGACUGAGGCACGGCCCAGACUCCUACGGGUGGCAGCAGUAGGGAAUCUUCGGCAAUGGAAGAAAGUCUGACCGAGCAACGCCGCGUGAGUGAAGAAGGUUUUCGGAUCGUAAAGCUCUGUUGUAAGAGAAGAACGGGUGUGAGAGUGGAAAGUUCACACUGUGACGGUAUCUUACCAGAAAGGGACGGCUAACUACGUG
rnacentral:rRNA from 1 species